UACGGAGGGUGCGAGCGUUGUCCGGAAUCAUUGGGCGUAAAGGGCUCGUAGGCGGCCAACUAAGUCGGACGUGAAAUCCCUCGGCUUAACCGGGGAACUGCGUCCGAUACUGGAUGGCUAGAGUUUGGGAGAGGGAUGCGGAAUUCCAGGUGUAGCGGUGAAAUGCGUAGAUAUCAGGAGGAACACCGGUGGCGAAGGCGGAUCUCUGGGCCUUACCUGACGCUCAGGUGCGAAAGCUAGGGGAGCGAACAGG
rnacentral:rRNA from 1 species